ACAACAAUAUAGUAACUUCGAGUCAGAGUAUGAGAUUAAAUUAU
rnacentral:guide_RNA from 1 species